rnacentral:rRNA from 1 species
UUCGCCCUUAGAGUUUGAUCCUGGCUCAGGAUGAACGCUGGCGGCGUGCUUAACACAUGCAAGUCGAACGAUUGAAGCUGGAGCUUGCUCCGGCCGAUUUAGUGGCGGACGGGUGAGUAACGCGUGGGUAACCUGCCUCAUACAGGGGGAUAGCAGUUGGAAACGACUGGUAAAACCGCAUAAGCGCACGGUGUCGCAUGACACAGUGUGAAAACACUCCGGUGGUAUGAGAUGGACCCGCGUCUGAUUAGCUAGUUGGUGAGGUAACGGCCCACCAAGGCGACGAUCAGUAGCCGGCCUGAGAGGGUGAACGGCCACAUUGGGACUGAGACACGGCCCAAACUCCUACGGGAGGCAGCAGUGGGGAAUAUUGCACAAUGGGGGAAACCCUGAUGCAGCGACGCCGCGUGAGUGAUGAAGUAUUUCGGUAUGUAAAGCUCUAUCAGCAGGGAAGAUAAUGACGGUACCUGACUAAGAAGCACCGGCUAAAUACGUGCCAGCAGCCGCGGUAAUACGUAUGGUGCAAGCGUUAUCCGGAUUUACUGGGUGUAAAGGGUGCGUAGGUGGCAAGGCAAGUCUGAAGUGAAAAUCCGGGGCUCAACCCCGGAACUGCUUUGGAAACUGUUUAGCUGGAGUACAGGAGAGGUAAGUGGAAUUCCUAGUGUAGCGGUGGAAUGCGUAGAUAUCGGGAGGAACACCAGUGGCGAAGGCGACCUACUGGGCACCAACUGACGCUGAGGCUCGAAAGCAUGGGUAGCAAACAGGAUUAGAUACCCUGGUAGUCCAUGCCGUAAACGAUGAUUACUAGGUGUUGGAGGAUUGACCCCUUCAGUGCCGCAGUUAACACAAUAAGUAAUCCACCUGGGGAGUACGACCGCAAGGUUGAAACUCAAAGGAAUUGACGGGGGCCCGCACAAGCAGUGGAGUAUGUGGUUUAAUUCGAAGCAACGCGAAGAACCUUACCAGGUCUUGACAUCCGAUGCAUAGCUUAGAGAUAAGUGAAGUCCUUCGGGACAUCGAGACAGGUGGUGCAUGGUUGUCGUCAGCUCGUGUCGUGAGAUGUUGGGUUAAGUCCCGCAACGAGCGCAACCCUUAUUGCCAGUUACUACGCAAGAGGACUCUGGCGAGACUGCCGUUGACAAAACGGAGGAAGGUGGGGAUGACGUCAAAUCAUCAUGCCCUUUAUGACCUGGGCUACACACGUACUACAAUGGCGUUUAACAAAGAGAAGCAAGACCGCGAGGUGGAGCAAAACUCAAAAACAACGUCUCAGUUCAGAUUGCAGGCUGCAACUCGCCUGCAUGAAGUCGGAAUUGCUAGUAAUCGCGGAUCAGCAUGCCGCGGUGAAUACGUUCCCGGGCCUUGCACUCACCGCCCGUCA